rnacentral:RNase_P_RNA from 1 species
GAAGCAAGCCAGACCGCCGCUGGGGCAAUCGUCGAAAGGCGGCCCUGGAGGAAGGUCCGGACUGCACAGGGCAGCGUAGCAGCUAACGGCUGUCCACCGCGAGGUGAGGAUCAGAGCAACAGAGACGAGUCGAGGCGGGUCACCGUACCGGGUGGUCUGUGAGGUGCCGGCGAAAGUCGGCGGCCAGGCGGCUGCGAAGCCGACUGGUUCGAGCGCAAGCUCGAAACCGAACAGCCACCCGAUGCGGCUCUGCCGCAUCGGGUGAAACGGGCAAUCUCUACGCGCAGCAACACCGAAUAGGCACACAUUGAUCUGGCCCGGGGAGUGUGCGGGUAGGUGGCAUCGAGCCGGGUGGGCGACCCCCGGCCCAGAGGAAUGGCGGUCACGCCACUGUCCGUCGCAAGGCGGGCGGCGGCGCACAGAAUCCGGCCUAUCGGCUCGCUUCACAC